UCAGCCGAGUCUGCGGUCCCCUCUCUCUGGAGAAGACACAAGGUACUUUUUCCACACAGAAAUGGAACUUCCUAAUAUUGAAAAACAAGACUGACCCCAGAGAAGGCGUCACUAGUGAAGCCUUCUGUGAUUUUCAGAGACUGUGAUGUAUUGAUCAACCAAAGGUCAUUUUGUUGAUCACAUCAGCCAAGUGAGGGCUGAGAAAAACAACACCCACAUCCACAGGAGGCUGAGGACAGGUGGAGGAAAUGGAAUUCAAACUACCAGAAAUGCCCCAUCUUACAAAUUCAUUCCUCAAGGCUUCUCUCUCCAACGACUUUAUCCACCUAUCACCUCUGGAUCUGGUGAAUAAGAGUACUUCCUCCUUUGCAUACCCAUCACUCAUCACCAGUGUCUUCCGGAACUCAUAUGCAAUCUUGUAUUCUAGUUCACCACCAUUUGCCUCAUCUCUUUUACUAAGUUAUAUGUUCCCUGGUGUGGUGGGUUGAAUAUUAUCUACCUUUCAGAAUUCCUGUCCAUCUGAAACCUCAGAAUGUGAACCGAUUUGUCAAGAGGGUCUUUGCAGAUAUAAUUUGUUAAGGAUCUUGAGAUGAAAUUAAGCUGGUUUUUAAAGGAAAGCCCUAAAUCCAAUGACCAGUAUCUUUAUAAGAGAAAGGAGAAGGAGAUAAUGGUCACAGCAAGACACAGAGUGAAGAUGACCUGGGAAGACGGAGGCAGAGAUCAGCCACAAGCCAAGGAAAGCCAGGAGCCACCGGAGGCUAAAGUCCUCAGAAGCAAGGAAGACUCAACUUCUCCUUGGACAUUUGGAGUAAAGAUGCUGACACUUUCCUUCCCUACUUCUGGUCUCCAGCACUGUGAGAAAAGAAGUUUCUAUUACCACCACGUUUGUGGUAAUUUGCUAUGGCAUCCCAGGGAAUUAAUAUACCUGAGUAUAAGGUGAUGAUGCAAAGGUAAUUCAUUUGCAUGAUGGGUACCACAUUAUUAUUCUGAGUCACAAGUGAAAGUGAAAGGUGCUCAGUCAUGUCCGACUCUUUGUGACCCCAUGGAUUAUAUAAUCUAU